CCCAACUAUCCCUAUUAAUCAUUACGUCGAUCUAAGAAACCAACAAAAUAAGAUCAACGUCCUAUUUCAUUAUUCCAUGCUAAUGUAUUCAAGCGCGAGCCUGCUUUAAACACUCUAAUUUUUUCAAAGUAACAGUCCUGAUUCCCCGUCACACUAAAUUAAUGGCAUGACGGUUCGUUAGAAGGAAGGAAUCAGUGACACUAGUACAUACCGAAGCAUGACCGGCGUACUGAUUCCGAAAUUCAACUACGAGCUUUUUAACUGCAACAACUUUAAUAUACGCUAUUGGAGCUGGAAUUACCGCGGCUGCUGGCACCAGACUUGCCCUCCAA
rnacentral:misc_RNA from 2 species